rnacentral:rRNA from 1 species
AUCCUACGGGAGGCAGCAGCCGCGGUAAUACGUAGGGAGCGAGCGUUGUCCGGAUUUACUGGGUGUAAAGGGUGCGUAGGCGGCUUGGCAAGUCAGUAGUGAAAUCCAUGGGCUUAACCCAUGAACUGCUAUUGAAACUGUCGAGCUUGAGUGAAGUAGAGGUAGGCGGAAUUCCCGGUGUAGCGGUGAAAUGCGUAGAGAUCGGGAGGAACACCAGUGGCGAAGGCGGCCUACUGGGCUUUAACUGACGCUGAGGCACGAAAGCGUGGGUAGCAAACAGGAUUAGAAAC